rnacentral:lncRNA from 1 species
CAAAUAAGACCCCUAACCUUCCCUUCAAGCUUUCCACAAGGGUUUCCAACAAGAUUAUCAUCCAUAGCACGAAAUCAAGUAGCGAUAAUAUUAAAACGAUCGCUAUGACGUAAGUAUCACAUAUUGCCUCUCGUUUUCUUUGUUGUUUUGAAUUUUGGAAGGUAUUUAAUAGUUAGGAAAAUGACUUACUUCUGUAUUUAAGCUUUUAAUAGCUAGAACUCAUGGGACGGUGAUCUAAAGCUGUUCGAAUUAUUCGACUUGUUGUGGGCUAUUUUGUGGGCCGUUUCGUGUUGCUAUUGGAUAGUACCUUUUGCUAUUGUUUUUAUGGAGUUGAGAAGAGAAAUGGUGUGGAGAAAUGCCACAUAAUGGAAGGGUGGUUUGCUGGUCAUUCGUUGUAAUAUUUCCGGAUCGUUUGACACUACUAAGGUGGAAAGUGAUUAGGUUGUGUGGACUGUUUUGGGAGGCUCAAUAUGAUUAUUAUUGAUGUUGUUUGGGCUGUUUGGUGAUUCUUUUCACUUGUGUGAAGUAAUAUAUAUAGUGGAAGGCUAUCCGUUUCCUCGUGAAAUAGGUUGUGUUCGAUACAGUAUAGUUACGACGCCUAAACAAUAACGAUAGUAUCAUUUCUCUUAUUGUAGACUAUUUUCACCGUGAAAUUGUAUAGCUUGAGGUUGGGAAGAAUAUACAAGGUAUGUCAGGCUAUCCCUUUCCUUCUUUUGCAUGACUUCGAUUGUACAUAAUGUAAUUAACGAGCUUCCAAAUAUACUCUACUCCUAGAAGCUAGCAUUAUAUAUAUUGUUUCCCCUCUUAUGGAAUGAUUGAUGUGAUGUUGCUUCUCUUAUUCUUAUGUUAUCAAUGUUGUUGGUACUUCCUGAUUCUCUC